rnacentral:rRNA from 1 species
UUUAACUGAGCGUUCAGUUACUUGACGUAGACCCGAAACCGGGCGACCUACCCAUGAGCAGGAUGAAGCGAAAGUAAAAUUUCGUGGAGGUCCGAACCCACGAGCGUUGAAAAGCUCGGGGAUGACUUGUGGGUAGCGGUGAAAUUCCAAUCGAGCCCGGAGAUAGCUGGUUCUCCCCGAAAUAGCUUUAGGGCUAGCCUCAAGGUGAGAGAUACGGAGGUAGAGCACUGAAUGUCCUAGGGGGUAUUGCACCUACCGAAGACUAUCAAACUCCGAAUGCCGUCAUCUUAUACUUGGGAGUCAGACUGUGGGUGAUAAGAUUCAUAGUCGAAAGGGCAACAGCCCAGAUCGUCAGCUAAGGUCCCUAAAUGUAAGUUAAGUGGUAAAGGAUGUGGGAUUGCACAGACAACCAGGAUGUUGGCUUAGAAGCAGCCACUCAUUCAAAGAGUGCGUAAUAGCUCACUGGUCGAGUGAUCCUGCGCCGAAGAUUUCCGGGGCUAAAACUUACUACCGAAGCUACGGCAUCAGUAAUGAUGGGUAGGGGAGCUUCCCAUACGGGUUGAAGCAUGACCGUAAGGACAUGUGGACAGUAUGGGAGUGAGAAUGUUGGCAUGAGUAGCGAGAUGUGGGUGAGAAUCCCACAGGCCGUAAACCCAAGGUUUCCAGGGGAAGGUUCGUCCGCCCUGGGUUAGUCGGGACCUAAGCUGAGGCCGAAAGGCGUAGGUGAUGGACAACAGGUUGAUAUUCCUGUACUACCGAUAACCGUUUGAGAGAUGGGAUGACACAGUAGGAUAAGCUAAGCACACUGUUGGUUAUGUGUGCCCAAGCAUUGAGGCAGUCAAAGUAGGUAAAUCCGCUUUGAUAAUGCUGGGAUGUGAUGGGGAGCGAAAUUUAGUAGCGAAGUAGCUGAUUUCACACUGUCAAGAAAAGUCUCUAUCGAGGUUAAAGGUACCCGUACCGCAAACCGACACAGGUGGGUGAGGAGAGUAUCCUAAGGCCAGCGAGAGAACUGUUGUUAAGGAACUCGGCAAAAUGACCCCGUAACUUAGGGAUAAGGGGUGCCACCAUCAGGUGGCCGCAGAGAAUAGGCCCAAGCGACUGUUUACCAAAAACAUAGGUUUCUGCUAAGUCGCAAGACGAUGUAUAGGAGCUGACGCCUGCCCGGUGCUGGAAGGUUAAGGGGAUCUGUUAGAGCAAUCGAAGCAGUGAACUUAAGCCCCAGUAAACGGCGGCCGUAACUAUAACGGUCCUAAGGUAGCGAAAUUCCUUGUCGGGUAAGUUCCGACCCGCACGAAAGGCGUAACGAUUUGGGCACUGUCUCAACAACAGACUCGGUGAAAUUGUAAUUCCGGUGAAGAUGCCGGAUACCUGCGACAGGACGGAAAGACCCCAUGGAGCUUUACUGUAGCUUGACAUUGGGUCUUGGUACUACAUGUACAGGAUAGGUGGGAGGCUUUGAAACCAGGACGCCAGUUUUGGCGGAGCCAUCCUUGGGAUACCACCCUUGUAGUACUGGGACUCUAACCAUAGGCCAUGAAUCUGGUCUUGGGACACUGUCAGGUGGGCAGUUUGACUGGGGCGGUCGCCUCCCAAAAGGUAACGGAGGCGCUCAAAGGUUCUCUCAGUACGGUCGGAAAUCGUACGUAGAGUGUAAAGGCAAAAGAGAGCUUGAUUGCAAGACAUACAGGUCGAGCAAGGAUGAAAAUCGGACUUAGUGAUCCGGUGGUUCUGCGUGGAAGGGCCAUCGCUCAACGGAUAAAAGCUACCCUGGGGAUAACAGGCUUAUCUCCCCCAAGAGUCCACAUCGACGGGGAGGUUUGGCACCUCGAUGUCGGCUCAUCACAUCCUGGGGCUGUAGUAGGUCCCAAGGGUUGGGCUGUUCGCCCAUUAAAGUGGUACGCGAGCUGGGUUCAGAACGUCG